GUGAAUCAUCAAAUUUUUGAACGCAAAUUGCACUCUCUUGGAUUCCUGAGAGUAUUCCUGUGUGAGGCUCUGUUUAUAGAAAAAUCGGUGUGGUUGCUGCCUUUCGUGGUGACGCACCGGAUUUGUUUCGUCUUGCCGUUGUUUAAGUGAUCUAAAAUUUUGCAUGAUUUUUUGGAAGGUAUUUAAAUUAUUUUACUUACGUGUUCGAUAUCUGAUACUAGGUGUGGUGAUACUCAU
rnacentral:misc_RNA from 1 species